rfam:Chlorocebus sabaeus isolate 1994-021 chromosome X, whole genome shotgun sequence.
GCUGGGUGUGGUGGCGCACACCUGUAGUCCCAGCUACUCUGGAGGCUGAGGCAGGAGAAUCGCUUGAACCCAGGAAACGGAGGUUGAAGUGAGCCGAGAUCUCUGCCACUGCACUCCAGCCUGGGCAACAGAGUGAGACUCCGUCUUAA